rnacentral:rRNA from 1 species
ACGAACGCUGGCGGCGUGCUUAACACAUUCAAGUCGAACGGAAAGGCCCUGCUUGCAGGGUACUCGAGUGGCGAACGGGUGAGUAACACGUGGGUGAUCUGCCCUGCACUUCGGGAUAAGCCUGGGAAACUGGGUCUAAUACCGGAUAGGAGCCAUUUUUAGUGUGAUGGUUGGAAAGUUUUUUCGGUGUAGGAUGAGCUCGCGGCCUAUCAGCUUGUUGGUGGGGUAAUGGCCUACCAAGGCGGCGACGGGUAGCCGGCCUGAGAGGGUGGACGGCCACAUUGGGACUGAGAUACGGCCCAGACGCCUACGGGAGGCAGCAGUGGGGAAUAUUGCACAAUGGGCGCAAGCCUGAUGCAGCGACUCCGCGUGGGGGAUGACGGCCUUCGGGUUGUAAACUCCUUUCGCUAGGGACGAAGCUUUUUGUGACGGUACCUAGAUAAGAAGCACCGGCUAACUACGUG